rnacentral:lncRNA from 1 species
UCUCGACUUACUGCUAUGCGUAAUUUCAAGUUAAAGUAUCCUAUAAUAUAUUUCACAAACUGCAACAUAGAAGAUUGGUGCAUAUGAAUGGCCUAGCCCUCUGCCUGUAACAAAUAGGAAGAAUUGGACUUAGAAUGGGACUGUAGUGAGUAUUUCUUUGACUGAAUGUGGCUAAUUGAGGGAAGUUGGGUUGAUAUAGAAGAGGAAUAGACGUGUAUGAGGAGUUAUGGGUUAGUGGGAUGAAGUCCAGGAGUUAUAGUCCAGGUUUUAUGAAUGGAAUGCAG